rnacentral:rRNA from 1 species
CCUACGGGAGGCAGCAGUGAGGAAUAUUGGUCAAUGGACGAGAGUCUGAACCAGCCAAGUAGCGUGAAGGAUGACUGCCCUAUGGGUUGUAAACUUCUUUUAUAUGGGAAUAAAAUGUUCCACGUGUGGGAUUUUGUAUGUACCAUAUGAAUAAGGAUCGGCUAACUCCGUGCCAGCAGCCGCGGUAAUACGGAGGAUCCGAGCGUUAUCCGGAUUUAUUGGGUUUAAAGGGAGCGUAGGUGGAUUGUUAAGUCAGUUGUGAAAGUUUGCGGCUCAACCGUAAAAUUGCAGUUGAAACUGGCAGUCUUGAGUACAGUAGAGGUGGGCGGAAUUCGUGGUGUAGCGGUGAAAUGCUUAGAUAUCACGAAGAACUCCGAUGGCGAAGGCAGUUCACUGGACUGCAACUGACGCUGAGGCUCGAAAGUGUGGGUAUCAAACAGGAUUAGAUACCCGGGUAGUC